rnacentral:lncRNA from 1 species
CAUGAAGGCGGGAGCUGUGCCUGUUUUCAUUGUGUUUACAAGGCUUGGCACACUGCCUAGCACAAUGUUGAUAUAUACUUGUGGUUGAAUGAAUGAAUGGAACAGUUCACUAAUGAUUACUGUAAACUCUUUGGAAGUAGAGAUGUCAUUUGAAAAGUUCUAGCUGACUAUGCUGUCAUGUCCUUAGAUCCAAAGGCAGUCUGUGCUGACGGGACACAGCGACAUGGUCACGCAUGUGAAGCUGUUGGUGAAUGACAUGGCGGUGGACUCCGUGGGUGGAUACCUCUACUGGACCACACUCCACUCAGUUGAGAGCACCAGGCUGAAUGGAGAGAGUGCUCUUGUCCUCCAGGCACAGCCUUGGUUGUCUGGGAAAAAGGUUAUUGCUCUCACUCUGGACCUCAGUGAUGGGCUCUUGUAUUGGUUGGUUCAGGACAGUCAGUGUAUUCACCUGUACAUGGCUGUUCUCUGAGGACAGAGGUGAGACGUAUCUCUCAAAGGCCCUUGCCUCUCAGUUAUAAAUUACAAUGCAUGAGAUUCAUUUGUUCUUUUGAUAGAUACUCAUAACUUACACACUGUCGCAGUUGUGCUUGUGAGGAAGAUGGGUUUGUAAACACCCGAUUACAGUGGAAUAUGAUCAGUGCUGUGAUGGGCAUCGAAGUGGGACAGUGGAGAAUCUGAUUCAAGAAUCCAGAAAAUAUGCAGAUGGAUUUUCUGCUUGUUAAGAAAGUGGUGCUUCACAAAAAUCAAUAGCUUUCCUCCACACGAAUGACAGACUCACUGAGAGAGAAAUAGGGCAAAUAAUUCCUUUCACAAUAGCAUCCAAAAAACUGAAAUACCUAGGAAUCA